UCCCGAAAACUGGAUCGGACCGAAAUGGAACGGAAUUGUUUGUAGACAAUAUUUUAACGGAUUCCGAAGCAUUCCGAUCGCAACCGCAUGCGCACUGACACAAAUAUACUUACUUUAUUUGGUUAUAAUCGUUUUGUACAUAGUAGUUGCGUACACAAUUAAAAGUCUAAAACAAUAAAUCUUUUUUAUUAUAAACAUUUUAAUAUUUUUUCGAUAAAAGAAUCUUGACACGAACAAUAAAAAUAUAUCAGAAGAAAAAAGUAUUUGUGAAGUGCAGAAAUAUUCAUUUACAUAAUUAUAAAAA